UUAACUUCCAGGUCUCAGUUCAAAGACACCUUCCCUGCUCAGAGACAACUUCCCUGACCCCACUACCUAAAGAUGGAAGAAGAUAAAAAAGCGGAUGUGUGCAAAGGGCAUCAGUGGAGUUAACAAGUCAUCUGGACAGGGUGACUGUCAAGAAAUCUGCCUUUCUACUCUCUCUCACGCCCGUGAGAAGUCAGUCACCUCUAUCAGGGUCAUAGGACUGGCUGCGAGACUCCUGCCCCACGAACCGAACGAAUUGGCCUUGAGAAUCAGCGAGAGAAAGGAGACUAAGGACGGAAGGACAUGACAAGGUCUCCUCCUCCCUGAGGGAGCAGGCAGCGGGGAGGGAGGGAGCAACCCCAGCGAGAGGACGCUGCGGGGACAGGAUUCCCUGCCGAGCAUCUGCCAGCGGCUGGUGACUCAGUGAAAGCGGUGAGGGCCGGGCUGGGGCCGCUGGGCACGGAGGUGACCAGGCGGCGGGGACCCCGAGGCGGGCGCGGCCGCGGGGCUCACCGUGUCCUUAGACGAGCCCAGCUUCUUGAGGCCGUCCAGGGGCAGCAGGUCUGCGGAGUCCUUGUGGAUGAACUGCACCGCUUGCUUCAUGCGGCGCUGCUGCCGCAGCGACGCCGCCUCUCGCAUGUCGGUCUCCUUGCGGCCCCCUUCGGUCAGGAGCCCUGAGUAAAACAUCGCUGAGGUGCGCUCGGCCGAGCGACCUUAGUCGCUCCCGGCCCCCAGCGCCCUCAGCCUCGAGCUCCUUCAGCUCUGCCAGCGCCCGCGCCGCGCUUUUGUAGCCGAGCGUGACGUAACGCGGAGCAGCCAGUGCGCGCGCCGGGGGCGGGGCCUGCAGAGCGCCCGCCCACACGCCGCCAGGGGUCCCGCGGCCGCCGCCCGCCUCUGUGCUAGCCGCCAGGGGCUAAAGCGAGUUCGGGACGGGCGGCGCUGCAGGAACUGACUCGGAGCGCCAAGGGGCUACGCAGCCGCGUCACGCAGAGGCCCCUUGCUCCCAAAUGCAUGCCCCGAAUCCCUGGACUAAGGUGAGUACAGGGUCGAUGCUCCAGUAGUCCCUUGCACCCUAGCUGCCACGCGGGUCCCUGCUCACCUGUCCACGCCGUGGCCGACCCUGGGAUCACCGACAGCUGGGCCAUGUGAGAGUCCCGCGCUCGCACCGCUCCUCGGCUGGCAGAUUCGCCCCUCUGCCAACCUUCCCGGAGCCCCGCGCCCGCGCACGGCGGGGAGGACAGAGUUGCGAGAGCUCUAGAUUUCUGCAACUUCAGGUCGGUCCCCACCCACAGGGCCACGUGACUGGGGAGGGGGCCGCCCGGUGGGCGGGCUGGAGCUGCCCUGGGGACCCUCCUCCUUCGCUGCCGCCUGGCACCAUCUGCCAAGGCCCAGCACCUGCGCGUCCGGGCCUGGUUAGGGGGCAGGUGCGGUUGGAAACCUGAAGACCGGCCCGGGACUGCGGGGGCAGAGAGUCCCGACUCCGCGGAAAUGCACACGACCUGGAGCCCUACACCUACUCUUCAGGCUCCCUCAGCAGAAGGCACCCGGUUUUUCUCAGCAAAGGCCGGGACUUACCUUCGAGGAUGGGAAUCUUUCACCCGCCUCUCCAGCAUCCUAGUGGCAACAGUUAGAACGCCUUUUCUCUGUGAGUCUCUCAUACUUUUGAGACAUCCUGAAGGGAUUUUGGGGCAUUCUGGAUUCUGGUCUUGACUUUGUGUAUUGGUCCAGACCACUUUUCAGCCCUGGGAAACACCAUAGCUACUCUCCCCACCGCAUGAGCAGUCACGAACCAAACAGGUCUACAUUCUGAAGAGAAACAACAAUAAAAGCAAGGACACUUACGGAUUUUUUUUUUUUUUAAUGGUACCGGGGAUGAGACUCACAACCUGGCACUUGCCAGGCAGGUGCUUAUGCCACUGAGCUAAAUCCCCGGCCCACUUAUGGAAUUUUUAUAUGAGUGAAGUUCUGGAAGAAACACUUAAGUAUCAACAGCUUAUGAGAUACUGUUAUCACUGUCUGCUUAUUCCAGGCAAAUAAGAGACCUCUUAACUGGCCUCCUCCAUGUUCUAUGGCUUCCUUCCUAUCCAUUGUUGGCUCUAGUGCCAAAAUGAUCUCAAACUGCAAAGACCAUCGGCUCACCUCUGUGCCUCCGUGCCUUAGAAGCUGUCCUACUGCUCUUAGGGAAAGACUCACAUUCCUGUGUGGUCUCCCUGCACACAGAGUGGAGCUACCUCUCCACUCUGCACUUGAGCAACAUGGGCCUUCCCAACAUUCUCAGAGGGGCCAUUGUCCCUCUGCUUGGAACGCCCUUCAGUAAAUGCCUAUGGCUCUUCCAAACCUCAGCUCAUUAUCAUUUCUCCAGAAGAGCUAUUACUGAUCUUAAAUUAUACCAUACACUGUAUCUUAUUUCUCCCGGAUUUUUCACUGUCUCUCUGUAUAGUGCUAUUUGUUUAAUAUUUAUCUUCCCCAUUAAUUGUAAACUCCAAGGUGACUGAGUCCACUUUUGGUCUACCAUUGAAUCCUUAAUACAUACAAGUCUGUCAACAAAUACUAGUACACGUAUGACAAAGUUAAAGAUGUCUCAAGGGAAAUCAAGCAGUGUAGCCUGGAUCUGCCCCUAAAACCUGUAUCCUGCUUCUAGAACUUGGAAAGGCUGGGCUUGAUCUCCUGAAACCACUGCUACCUGCAGCACUUGCCCUAACUUUGGAGAGGACAGACUGCUCAUAAACAAAUCAAGGAGACUGCUCACCUGGCUUUAGGGAAGCCCAGGGCUAGAUUCUUCUACUCCCUCUGCUCUCCCAAAUAUGGAAGGCUGGGUCUAGAGAAGAGAACCUGGGAACGGAGCCCUACCGAGACAAGGGCAAACCCUUGAGGUGGAAGCAAGACCUACAGAGAUGGGGAGUCUCUCAGAGUCCAGCAAAGCCUAGGCUGGAGUUGAUGUGCCAUAUCUCCAGUCAGUUCCAGCCAGGGCGAGCACAGCCUGGGGACAGCUCAUACCGCCCCCCUCAGGAGGGAGGACCGAAGGACACAUGCUGCUUGGGGGUGACAGCUGAAGUCCUGGAGGUGGCGGAGACAGCUGCCUGCCUCAAGCUGAGUCACCUGGAACUAACGUCGGGGUUCCUGCCACGCAGUCCUGCUCUGCCACUGUCGCUGUCUUGCUUCAUGGUCCACAGGCAGCUCCUCAGAGCUCCUGGGUCCACUUCAUCCACAAACGAAAAUCCCCCUUAUCCUGGAGGAUGUGUCCCAAGGUGGUCCAGGAAGACUGGAAACCACAGCUGAGCUGCUGCCUCCUCAGCUACGCUGCUUUCCUAGGAUGUAGUGUGUUGGAGGGAAGGCAAUUUCCAGCACCCAGGUUCAAGAGGAAGGCAGCCUCCAACUUUCUUUGGAGACAUCAAAGAACUUGAGGAUGUGUUCCAGAACCACAACAGGUCCCAAACCUGCUCCUGCUCCAUCCACCAACUGCUCAAGCACCUAGGAAUCACCUUUGACUGCUCCUGGAGAAGGCUCUGCUGGCCAGGUCUGCGCAGCCUCCUUCCAGCCCUGUACAUGCCCACCUCUCACUUUCUUGUAGAACUGAGAAUACAUUUGCACUCCAUGAGAGCCAAGUUACUAAUGUGCCUGGGCGAGAUGGGGCGGCUCAGCCUGCCUGUCCCCAACAGCAUCAGUCCACUUGCCGAUUUGAGUUAUUUUCACCUAACAGACGCAGGAGGAAGUUCCAGCAUGACAAAUUCCAAAUGCUUUGUUUCAGUGAUUUUAUUUUUAUUAUUUUUAUUAUUCUUGGUACCGGGAAUUGAACUCAGGACUUCACAUUUGCCAGGCAGACACUGUGCCACUGAGCUAUAUCCCCAGUCCGGAUAUGUUUUUUUAAUGAAGACACUUAAACUUUUGAUGAAAGAUCUGAAAAUGGACAUUUAGGAACAUUCCAAAUAAAGAGGAAGUCUCAGGACUUACAAAAAAAUUGAUGUUACUAAAUGAAUUUUAAAAAAAUCUCACUGAGGUGGAAAGUUCAAUAAUGAGAUAGGCUUUGUAUUCUUAAAAAAAUACUUGUUACACUCAUUUUUUAGUACUUUGGUGUAGAGAAUCAAUUGCAUGAAGACAUUGAAAUCACAAAACACUAUGGCCCCUCGGUCAGUCCUUCCCUCAGGGAAGUGGCAGCUUGUUGAGAGGGUGUUUUUCAAUCCAUUGUAAUGAGAUUUCCCCUAGGGGUUUAAAUGUUGGAAAACUCAAUACUAUUGGAAAUGUAAGCUCAUAUGGGAGAGACUGAUAUGAGGUGCCCUUGUGCUAGUCAAAGUGAGAUGGCAUAGGGAGGCCAGUCACAACUGUGCCUGUUAGGACACUAGACAGCGAGCGCUUCCCUAGCAGUGCUGCUCAGGUCCUGGGAGCAGAGCCCGCUCUGCCCCUGGACGGUGGGGAAGGAAAGCAUCAGAGACCAGCUGGGCAUCCUUGGACCGCGGCCCCAGUGGUAGGAAGCACCUGGCAGAAGGAAGACCUUUGGCAGUACUGACUUGGGGUUGGUGAGAUCUCCUUGUGACGUGGGUGAUUCUCAGCCUCCUUGAGAUCAUGUCCAGCCCAAGUGCAGCACUCAGCUCUGUCUAAACACCUGCUCUGUGCAUUGGCUGCGGGGUACCGCAGGCAGCUAGGAAGGCAGGCAUAGGUACACACUCAUGUCAGCAGAAGGGCCUAGGUUUUUAUCUUAUUCCUUCUGUUUUCAGUAUUUUUUUAAAGUCUGUCAUUUAGAACUCAAGCUCCUGAGAUCACACACACCAUGUGGGGUGAAGGCUGUGGGGAAUGAGUCCUACUGGGUCUCAGUGUGGACGGGCGCCCCGGAGGGCUCCCCACCUCCCUUCAGGCCUGUUCUGCUCCCUUGGAGCCUGUAUGUGGGCUGGAUGAAGCCGAAGCUUCAGACAGAGCAGCCCCUUCCAUGCCUCUUCUUCACCACAGGGUCCGGGAGGAGGAGUGGGAGGACCAGGUGGACGGUGAGUCUCACCUGCACUGUCUGAAGUCCAGCUCAGCUGCCCUUCCUGCCUCUAAGACAUCUGCCCUCAGCAGUGAGAAGCUGGGGCCACUCAAAGCCAGGCUCAGUCCACUCCACAAUGGUGGCAAAGAAAAAACAAGUUCAGUUUACCAAAA